rnacentral:rRNA from 1 species
GACGAACGCUGGCGGCGUGCCUAAUACAUGCAAGUCGAACGAACUCUGGUAUUGAUUGGUGCUUGCAUCAUGAUUUACAUUUGAGUGAGUGGCGAACUGGUGAGUAACACGUGGGAAACCUGCCCAGAAGCGGGGGAUAACACCUGGAAACAGAUGCUAAUACCGCAUAACAACUUGGACCGCAUGGUCCGAGUUUGAAAGAUGGCUUCGGCUAUCACUUUUGGAUGGUCCCGCGGCGUAUUAGCUAGAUGGUGGGGUAACGGCUCACCAUGGCAAUGAUACGUAGCCGACCUGAGAGGGUAAUCGGCCACAUUGGGACUGAGACACGGCCCAAACUCCUACGGGAGGCAGCAGUAGGGAAUCUUCCACAAUGGACGAAAGUCUGAUGGAGCAACGCCGCGUGAGUGAAGAAGGGUUUCGGCUCGUAAAACUCUUGUUGUUAAAGAAGAACAUAUCUGAGAGUAACUGUUCAGGUAUUGACGGUAUUUAACCAGAAAGCCACGGCUAACUACGUGCCUGCAGCCGCGGUAAUACGUAGGUGGCAAGCGUUGUCCGGAUUUAUUGGGCGUAAAGCGAGCGCAGGCGGUUUUUUAAGUCUGAUGUGAAAGCCUUCGGCUCAACCGAAGAAGUGCAUCGGAAACUGGGAAACUUGAGUGCAGAAGAGGACAGUGGAACUCCAUGUGUAGCGGUGAAAUGCGUAGAUAUAUGGAAGAACACCAGUGGCGAAGGCGGCUGUCUGGUCUGUAACUGACGCUGAGGCUCGAAAGUAUGGGUAGCAAACAGGAUUAGAUACCCUGGUAGUCCAUACCGUAAACGAUGAAUGCUAAGUGUUGGAGGGUUUCCGCCCUUCAGUGCUGCAGCUAACGCAUUAAGCAUUCCGCCUGGGGAGUACGGCCGCAAGGCUGAAACUCAAAGGAAUUGACGGGGGCCCGCACAAGCGGUGGAGCAUGUGGUUUAAUUCGAAGCUACGCGAAGAACCUUACCAGGUCUUGACAUACUAUGCAAAUCUAAGAGAUUAGACGUUCCCUUCGGGGACAUGGAUACAGGUGGUGCAUGGUUGUCGUCAGCUCGUGUCGUGAGAUGUUGGGUUAAGUCCCGCAACGAGCGCAACCCUUAUUAUCAGUUGCCAGCAUUAAGUUGGGCACUCUGGUGAGACUGCCGGUGACAAACCGGAGGAAGGUGGGGAUGACGUCAAAUCAUCAUGCCCCUUAUGACCUGGGCUACACACGUGCUACAAUGGAUGGUACAACGAGUUGCGAACUCGCGAGAGUAAGCUAAUCUCUUAAAGCCAUUCUCAGUUCGGAUUGUAGGCUGCAACUCGCCUACAUGAAGUCGGAAUCGCUAGUAAUCGCGGAUCAGCAUGCCGCGGUGAAUACGUUCCCGGGCCUUGUACACACCGCCCGUCACACCAUGAGAGUUUGUAACACCCAAAGUCGGUGGGGUAACCUUUUAGGAACCAGCCGCCUAAGGUGGGACAGAUGAUUAGGGUG